GUCUAUGGCCAUGCUACCCUGAACAAGCCCGAUCCCAUCUGAUCUUGGAAGCUAAGCAGGGUCGGGCCUGGUUAGUGCUUGGAUGGGGAAGACCAGGUGCCGUAGGCG
rnacentral:rRNA from 1 species